rnacentral:lncRNA from 1 species
GCGAAUUUCUUGGGUCCUUCAAGGUAUCCGGGGAUCUCUGCUGGGAAUUUGUGAUUUUUUUGGUCGGAUGAAUUCAGUUCGCAUCAUAUACGGAUUACUUGGAUCUUUUCCAGGUAUUUGACCUUUUGGAAACAGAUUUUCAAAUGCUUCAGCUCGAAAAAAAGAAGGCUUUUAAGUGAAAAGGCAGUCAAAGAUUGAACUGGGUGUUUCUUGUUUGCUUCUCAGAGAAGUGACAAUCACGAGGACGGUCAAAUUUCGUGCUUUCAAGCUUGAUAGAUCUCUAAAUCUAGGAUUCUAAAUCUAAGACCUUGCACUUAAGCCUUGCUUAUUUAAAUGAAUUCGGCAGGAGUUGGGAACUGAGUACCAAGUCAGGCCUGUGGGUCGUCCUGAGGAUGAGGAGGAUGCAAGUGAUUUCGAGCCUGAGGAGAAUGGCGAGGAGGAAGACGCUGACGAAGAGGACGAGGAUGAAGACGAGGACGAUGCUGGUGGUAAGGUCGAGGCUCCACCGAAGAGGAAGCGAUCAGACAAGGACAACUCUGACGACGACAAGGAUGAUGAGAGACCUGCCAAGCGAUAGGCCCAAAGGCUCUUCUCCUUCGUGGGAGAAAAUAUUGGGUACGUCUUAUGUAGCCAGCGUGGCAAACAAGAAGGCGGUGGGAGCGCGACACGUGUCCUCGUGGGACCCAUAAAGUCAGGCGUCUGCUCCUCGACUCAGCGCUUCUUCCUCUCUCCUCUAACUCUCGUCUCGGCUGGUGGCUCGGCUCGGCUGGCAAAAGAAAGGACGUCCUCUCCUCCUGACCUGCACGCUCUCUCUCCUGUCAGAGCAUUUAUUGCGGAAACUUUUCUCUUUCCUUCGUUUGAGAAAGAAAAUGGCCGUUCGUUCCUCUUUCCCUCUCCAUUUCUUUCCUUUCGAAUUUUUGAAUCUGAAAUCCUCUCUCCGCGCUCGUUGUUGCUCCGCCGUGCAUCAAGCGGCCGUUCUCCUGCCAUCACCGACGAACCACAUUACGGCCGCCGCUACUCCGGUGCUCACUCGCUUCUCUCUUCGGGUUCGUUGCUGCUCCGUCAUUCGUUCCGGCGUUCCCGGGAUCGCAGAUGCAGCACGCGGAGGAGAAGCAGGCCUCUUCGAGCUCCCCUCAACGUCGGCGACGUCGCCCGCCAAGCGAGACCCGCACACACGGAAGGCUCGGAGGCGAGGUUGCUGGAGAAGCUGGUGCUGAGCUGCCUCGUCGUGUUCGACACUCCUCCGCCUCCCUCUCGCGACGUCCGCUCUGCUCUCUCUCUCCCCCCCCUCUGCGAAGUCGUGACUCUCUUCCAGCGAAACGCGACGCCAACGGCCCUCCACCUCUGCCGGUUGACUCCGUCGCCCUCGACUCCGACUCCGACUCCGACGCCGACGCCGACGCCGCCUCCUCCCCUGAACCCGACUCUGACGCCGACGCCCCUUCGCCGGUUGCCUCCCUUUCUGUAAGAAAUUCAACAUUGAGCCACGGGCACCUGAGUUUUAUUUUGCUCAGAAGAUAGAUUAUCUCAAAGAUAAGGUUGAGGCAUCUUUUGUGAAGGAGCGAAGAGCAAUGAAGGUAGUAGGAGUGCCAAAUUUAAUUUAUCAAUUGCUCUUUGCAGAUGAUAGUCAAAGUCUUAAUUCUGUUCUUGCUGUGUUUGCAGAGAGAGUAUGAGGAGUUUAAGGUUCGUAUAAAUGCUUUGGUGGCCAAAGCCCAGAAGGUUCCUGAAGAAGGGUGGACGAUGCAGGAUGGAACACCAUGGCCUGGAAAUAACGUCCGUGAUCAUCCUGGCAUGAUUCAGGUAUGCAAAGUUGUCAUUUUCAGUUUUAGAACUCUUUGUUGAUGUGAGAUGAGAUUAACUGCUUAUUUCUGCUAUCUUUAAUAGGUUUUUCUUGGCCAAAGUGGAGGACAUGACUCUGAUGGGAAUGAAUUACCUCGCCUUGUCUAUGUUUCCAGAGAGAAGAGGCCUGGCUAUAAUCACCACAAGAAGGCAGGAGCCAUGAAUGCUUUGGUAAGUGUCAUAAGAAUCCACCUUAGUUGGUAAACCCCCUUUUUUGCUCUCUCCAUUGACCUCUCUGUGAACUUUUGUUUGUCUAACCGGUCAGGGUCUCUGCUGUGCUUACAAAUGCGCCUUAUCUUUUGAAUCUGGAUUGUGAUCACUACUUCAAUAAUAGUAAGGCUAUUAGGGAGGCAAUGUGCUUCAUGAUGGACCCACUUAUUGGAAAAAGAGUGUGCUACGUCCAGUUCCCUCAAAGAUUCGACGGUAUAGAUAGGCACGAUCGAUAUGCCAAUCGGAACACCGUGUUUUUCGAUGUAAGCAUGCAAUUAUCAACCAUUGAAUUGCCUCAUGUCCAUUGCACAUACCAUAUCAUUAAUUCUGUGCAAGAAGAUCUGACGGAGAAAUUUCUCUCUUUCAGAUUAACAUGAAAGGUCUGGAUGGUAUUCAAGGUCCUAUUUACGUUGGGACUGGUUGUGUAUUCAGAAGGCUGGCACUCUAUGGUUAUGAUGCUCCAAAAGCAAAGAAGCCACCGACCAGAACUUGCAACUGCUUGCCAAAGUGGUGCUGUUGUGGGUGCUGUUGCUCUGGGACGAAGAAGAAGAAGAAGAAUACCAAGCCUAAGACCGAACUGAAGAAGAGAUUUUUAAAAAAAAAAGAUGCAGGUACUCCACCACCUUUGGAAGGUAUCGAAGAGGGCAUUGAAGGUGAGAUUCUGCUUUUGCAUGAAGUCCCACUUAAUUGUCUAGUGUUGGUUUACCUUUUUCUAUCAUUGAAUGUGCCUCUCAAUUUUGGCAUCAAUCGGUGAAAUCUUUUUAUUCUUCCAAAAGCUUGUUUUCUAUUGGGUUGCUUCCCAGUUAACAUCUGUUCCAAUUUGGACUUAACCAAUUUUGCUUCCUAUGUCAUGUUUAAGGCUAGUUCUUUUACUUAGUCAUCAAUACAUUCAUGUUUUCUUAUGCAGGAAUUGAAACUGAAAAUCCCACGCCUCAGCAUAAGCUUGAAAAGAAGUUUGGGCAAUCCUCAGUCUUCGUCGCAUCGACAAUGCUAGAGGAUGGAGGAACACUGAAAGGCACGAGCCCUGCAUCUUUGCUAAAAGAAGCUAUCCAUGUCAUCAGCUGCGGCUACGAAGAUAAGACUGAGUGGGGAAAAGAGGUAAGUGUAGUGUAAAUGCUCUCUUCAUGCAAUUCCCCGAAACAAUUAUUGUUUCUCUCAGAGUUGGCUGAACUUUCAUCAUAUACAGGUUGGAUGGAUAUAUGGUUCAGUUACAGAAGAUAUAUUGACGGGCUUUAAAAUGCAUUGCCAUGGAUGGCGUUCCAUCUACUGCAUCCCUGCAAGACCCGCUUUGAAAGGAUCUGCUCCCAUUAAUCUUUCCGAUCGUCUCCACCAGGUCCUUCGUUGGGCUCUUGGUUCCAUUGAGAUCUUCUUAAGCAGGCAUUGUCCCCUUUGGUAUGGUUAUGGAGGCAGUUUGAAAUGGUUAGAGCGAUUAUCUUACAUAAAUGCCACAGUAUACCCCUGGACAUCAAUCCCUCUGUUGGCAUACUGUACUUUGCCUGCUGUGUGCUGCUUGCUUACUGGGAAAUUCAUCACGCCAGAGGUAGGCUAUUAGAUUUUUCUUUUUCUUUCUUUUUCUUUUUUUCAACUAUUGCUUUUAUAUCGUACAAUUGAUGAUAUUCCAGGCAAAAGAUCUUAUAUUGUCUUUGUUUCUUGUCCCCGUUGCAGCUGAGCAAUGUGGCUAGUCUGUGGUUUCUGUCACUUUUCAUUUGCAUUUUCGCGACAAGUAUCCUGGAAAUGCGAUGGAGUGGGGUUGGAACAGAAGAAUGGUGGAGGAACGAACAGUUCUGGGUCAUCGGAGGAGUUUCAGCACAUCUCUUUGCAGUUUUUCAGGGGCUUUUGAAGGUUCUGGCUGGUGUUGACACGAACUUCACUGUGACAUCAAAGGGUGGGGAUGACGAGGAGUUCUCUCAACUCUAUGCGUUCAAAUGGACCACCUUGCUCAUUCCGCCAACCACAUUGCUUAUAAUAAACCUGAUUGGUGUUGUAGCUGGCGUAUCAAACGCAAUAAACAACGGUUACGAGUCCUGGGGUCCUCUCUUCGGAAAGCUAUUCUUUGCCUUCUGGGUGAUUGUCCACUUGUAUCCUUUCCUAAAGGGUCUGCUCGGACGGCAGAACAGGACUCCUACAAUCAUCAUUGUGUGGUCAAUCUUGCUCGCUUCCAUCUUCUCCCUUCUGUGGGUACGUGUCGAUCCAUUCUUGGCCAAGUCGGACGGACCACUUUUGGAAGAAUGCGGGUUGGACUGUAAUUAGCAAGAGUGUCUGAUUCCUGGAACAUUUGGUCAGUAGGAUUUGUUUAUGGGUUAUUUAUCGUAAGGAUACAGAAAGAAUACAUUUGGUGUGGUGCCGUCUGCAAUGCAAAUAAAGGGCAUGUUUGGACGUCACUGUUUCCGCAACUCCGCCUCUCCAUUUGACCGCAACACUCUGAAGGGCUACAAAAACCGACUUUGCUGCUCUUUUGCAACAGCUGGGAGAUUGUCGGAAAGGACUGUGACACUGCUUCUUGAUUCUUUAUUUGGUUCAUAAUUUUUUUCUUUUCUAGGAUGAGGAGGUGGCGUGAACCACAGUAUAAUGUGUAUUAUCAUCUCAUAAUCUCUCUCUCUCCCUCCCUCUCUCUCCCCCUGUGUAAGUGUAACUCAGCCGAAAUUGUGAGCAUGUAUUAUAUACGGGGCAUCGUCCCUCAGUUGAUGCUGCUUAAUGUGGCCAUGCAUGGCGUUUUGCUGUUGGAAGAUCAAAGGGAAAAGUUCAAUUUUCUUUGGCCACAGAAACGGUUUUGAUUGCUUAGAUAUUCAAGAGACCUGACUGUACUUAUUACUACGAGUGCAUUGCAAACCAUGCCAUUUUUUAGAUUCUCCUCAAGAACAAUAGAGCUGCAAAAGUCGGUUGAAAGAUCAAAGGGAAAAUUUUCAAUUUUCUUUGGCCACAGAAACGUUUUUGAUUGCUUACAUAUGUAAGAGACAAGACUGUACAUCUUAUUACUACGAGUGCAUUGCGAACCAUGCCAUUUUUUAGAUUCUCCUCAAGAACAGAAGAGCUGUAAAAGUUCGUUGAAAGAUCAGAGGGAAGAAGUUCAAUUUUCUUUGCCACAGUAGGUGUUGCGACGGUUUUGAUUGGUUGUUACAUAUUUAAGUGACCUGACUUAACAUCUUAUUGCUCCAAGUGCAUUGCAAACCAUUGCCAUUUUUCAGAUUCUCCUCAGGAACAAAAGAGUCUCUGUAACAGUUGGAUGCAGGAAGUUUUAAUGCAAAUCAUCUGUAGACAGAAAGUUUUACACGAUUUGAGCGUCAAUGCAGCAUCAACUUGGAGAUUCAUCUUGGCAUCUGGUGAGACGGGCCAGAACGAUGAUGAGACGCAGGUGACCAAAAUGUUCCAACUCUUCAGCAACAGUAAGAAAAGCAGGAGAGGAGCCCAAAAAAAAAAGUCACAAAAGAGAAUCUAAAGAAAAUUCUGGCUAUUUUCCACACCAUCCCCAACCCCUUUUUUGUAUUGGGCUGGACAUUAUUCUGUAUGAGAAGAGACGUGUAUUAAUCUUUCACUCAACAGAUUUACAAAAAAAUUACUCCUCCCAUUGCCUUGGAGAAGCUGAAUUCUCACAUCCAGUACCAUAAAAUGAAAUCGCCGAGAUCUUCAAAACCCAUACCAAACUUGCUACUGGCCAAAGACCAAAGAAUGCCACAACUGUCAUUUCUAGGCACUGAGGUUUGAAAGCGUCUAGCCAAAGGUGAGAUGAAACUUCCAGGCUAAUCCCCUUGAAUACAUGUGACCAGAGUUUCAGAAGCCUGUCCUGCCAAAAAAGGUCAGUCAUCUCAAAAUCCACUUUGUCAUCAUGAUGCUGGGUUGAGAUGAACAGAUGCAGCUAAUUCUGCUAAUUGUUUCCCGCUGAGAUCAUAAACAAGUUCCAUAGGGAUUAAAUGUUUUGGUUGAUUGCCAAAAUCUUCCUCCUUCAAAUCAUAUACCGCUUGGAGCUUUUGGGCUUCAUAUUCUGCAGCUUUGGCCUCAGCAAGUAAAAUGUCUGCUUCUUCAUGGUCACCCAAUUCCACAGCAGCAGCUCUUUCAGCAUUGGCAGCACUGGCAGUUAUGAGUAACCUCUGGAGUCUAGCCACUGCCAAAUCCCUCUCCCUUAAUAAGAUCUGCUCCUCAGCCUCCUGCAAUUAAUCAACAGUUUCUUUAAUUUCUUCUUCAAGCUUUCCAAGCUUUCAAGCUUGAUUUGUGUUCCUUCCUUCUCAUUGCUCAACGACUUUGCUUCAGCAGCUAUUCGUGUAGCUUCUUUGAAAUUUCUUGCAGCAGCAGCAACCUUUUUCUCAGUCUCUAGUUCUGGAAGUCUCUUGUCCACAUAAAGUAUCCUCUGCUCAAAUGAAGCUAUCUCCUGUUGGAGGCUGGACUUAUUUGAAGACAGUUCCUAUGAUCAAAAGACAAGAAUCUAAUCAAAUGAUGCGUUGAAGAGCCAAAUAAAUUUUGAGUAUUCAGUUUUUGAAUUUUCGUCCUGAAGCUAUAGCUAAAGAACAUGCUUAACACAAUACCCUGACCACUAGACUGGACAAAAAAUUCAGAUAAAGGUCUCCUGACACAACAUUGGAGUUCACUGCAAGAUUUGAAAUCUGAUCAAAUUCUGCUUUUGCUUAUACUCUCCUGUUGCUCCCUCUUUUGCUUAUUGUUUCCUAUUUCUCCUGUUACAGUACUCCAGCUCUACAAUAGUUUGAUUUCAUGAUUACAUCCACUGUCUCACUCGCAAGCUAUAGCUUUUCUGUGAGGGGAAACAGUAGAUCUCAACAUACAUUGUCUUCAUAUCCCUAGUUGCCUAAACUUUUAAGAUUAAGGCUUCCCUAACAAAUACGUCGCAUCUCUUAUUUUCACCAAAAAAAAAAAACAAAUACGUCGCAUAAACAAACUUUUGAAAGAAAGUAGGAGUCACUCACUGCCUGUGUCUUUAGAAUAUUCCUUCAGCAAGUAUAUCUUAACCAUGAACCAACACUCAUCCUAGGUUGGAUAAUCAAACAUGAACCUCAAGCAUUACUGAUUCAGAAGACUGGAAGUAAAUUCUCCAAAAUGUUGCAACAUGUAGACUCCAUAGGCCAGAAUUAUAGUAGAUUAAGCAUGUGAAGCUUAACCACCUUUUAGGUAUAUGUCGUUUGCAUGUAAAGAGUAAGAUAGCUAAAAAGUAAAAUAACCUGUAAAGAAGCUCUUGCAGAGGAAGCUUCUUGUUGGAGCCUCAUGACAUCUUCAGAAAAUUUCUCCUCAGUCUUCAUCAGCCCCAGUUUACUUUCUCUGUACUCCAAAAUGCAGAGCAUUAAACCUUUUCUCAAUCCUGCUGCUUCAUUGUAUGCUUUUGCUUCAUCUGCAGCAAUCUUCCCAAGUUCCCUAAUCUUUGCUCCUUUAUUAUCUUCCUGAGAGAGUACGUCAUCAAUAUCUUUCUUUUUUAUAGAUAAAGCUUCACUUUCGGCAUCAACCUGAGAGAGCUUUGAUUUCAUUCUAUCAUAUUUAGCACCAAUAUCUGAUUGCAUGUCCUGAAAUCCAGAGACCACACCAGCAAUGUGCUUCUCUACUGCUUCAAUGGAAGCAUCAUUCUCAGCAAUUUGCUUCUCCUUCUCUCUCACUAAAUUAAGCAGCUUCUCCAAUUCAUCCAACAACACAUCCUUCUUCUUAAGAAGUUUUUCUUUCUCUCUACUGUCAUCAUCAAUUGAAUGCUCGAUGGAAACAUUCACUCCUUUACGAGCUUCACUUAUCAGAUAUGACUCGAUUUCAAGUUCCAUCUUCCUCACCUCCAAAUCUUCACUUGAUGAAAGCCAUUUGUCCAUUUCCUCAGCACGCAGUAAGUUUGCCUUCUUCUCUAUCAGGUCAGCACUAGCAGUUGCAUCCUGCAGGAUAAGAGGUAAAAAUGUCAGUCAUUCUGCUUCAAACUAAAUUUGGCUACCACAUGAAAUCGAUAGCUUACGAGAAAGCUUUUCGUGGUACGCAUGAUCCAACCUCAUGUUUUGUAGGGACAGAUGAAACAGUUAAUGAAAAAGUUCAGAGAGAGAUAGCACGGCUAUCCUUAAAACAGUCACUAUCCAAAAGUCUACUUGGAUUGGCAAAACAGAGACUACCAUGGGAUCAAUAUGACUUGCUGAAAGCUUUUAGUUUACCUUACAUCAAGUCAAUUAAAACCAUGGCUAUCUCAAAAUAAAAAACUAGGGCUACAAUUGUGCGCAAGGGCACACCAAUGACACCACACAUGCAGUGCACCCACUACCAUGCCUAUAAUCUACCAUAACCUAACAAUGGUCAAGAGACAUUCUUGUUUUCCAUUCAUUUUCCUUGAAGCACUUUGACAAAACUAGUCUUUCCAUGUUCACCUUGAGAACCCGACUGCCAAUUGAAAGAUGAAAAUUGACAAACGACUUCCUUCACUCAACAGGGGCAGCUAAGCACAAGCAUGAAUAUAAAGAACAUCCAGUCAGGAAGGCUUGUACCAUUACACACGCAAGUUUAUAAAGACAGAGAGAAAACCAGAAACGUGUAUCAAUCUGCUCCAGCCAAUGAUUGUGUUGCCCUGUGGUGCGAAGUUCUUACUAUAGAGCUCACUCUAUCUUAAUUCAUUCUAGGAUCAAGCAUUAGUGUAGCCAAAAAAAAGAAAAGAUGUUGUCACUGACCUUAGAGAAAUUCUCCAACAGAGAAACACACUCAUCCUCAGCAGCAAUCUGUGCAUUCAAAACCUCCUGCAUCUUCGCAUCAAUAGCAUCGCAUUCAGCUUCACUAGCUCUAAGUGCAUCCACCAAAGCUUGUCUCUCCUUUUCGGCAGCAGCAAAAGGAAAUAACUGAAUAAGUAAUGUUGGGUCGGCAUCACCAUUUUCUGCGAUGCAUGGACUUGGCGAAGGGGCAUCGGCGUCGGCGUCGGCGUCAGGCACAUAGGCGGAGGCCGAGGCGUCGGCGUCGGGGGCGACGGACUCCGACGCCGACGGAGGCAACCGGCGAAGGGGCGUCGGCGUCAGAGUCGGGUUCAGGGGAGGAGGCGGCGUCGGCGUCGGCGUCGGAGUCGGAGUCGGAGUCGAGGGCGACGGAGUCAACCGGCAGAGGUGGAGGGCCGUCGGCGUCGCGUUUCGCUGGAAGAGAGUCACGACUUCGCAGAGGGGGGGGAGAGAGAGAGCAGAGCGGACGUCGCGAGAGGGAGGCGGAGGAGCGUCGAACACGACGAGGCAGCUCAGCACCAGCUUCUCCAGCAACCUCGCCUCCGAGCCUUCCGUGUGUGCGGGUCUCGCUUGGCGGGCGACGUCGCCGACGUUGAGGGGAGCUCGAAGAGGCCUGCUUCUCCUCCGCGUGCUGCAUCUGCGAUCCCGGGAACGCCGGAACGAAUGACGGAGCAGCAACGAACCCGAAGAGAGAAGCGAGUGAGCACCGGAGUAGCGGCGGCCGUAAUGUGGUUCGUCGGUGAUGGCAGGAGAACGGCCGCUUGAUGCACGGCGGAGCAACAACGAGCGCGGAGAGAGGAUUUCAGAUUCAAAAAUUCGAAAGGAAAGAAAUGGAGAGGGAAAGAGGAACGAACGGCCAUUUUCUUUCUCAAACGAAGGAAAGAGAAAAGUUUCCGCAAUAAAUGCUCUGACAGGAGAGAGAGCGUGCAGGUCAGGAGGAGAGGACGUCCUUUCUUUUGCCAGCCGAGCCGAGCCACCAGCCGAGACGAGAGUUAGAGGAGAGAGGAAGAAGUGCUGAGUCGAGGAGCAGACGCCUGACUUUAUGGGUCCCACGCUGGCUACAUAAGACGUACCCAAUAUUUUCUCCCCUUCGUGGUCUGAGCAAUGACUUUGACAUAUUGACUCUAUUUUCUCUCUCAAAACCCGAUCCUCUUUGCAGCAGGAAAAAAAAGAUAGCUGGUUUUCAAUUGGAGUAAGCUUUUCUUUUGGGUCGUUUGUUUAUCCUGAAAGUGCAUUAGGAUUAAGAGCAUAACUCUUUGUACUGUCGAUGCAUAGUCCGCACGGGGUUUCAACAAACUGUGUUGCAACAGCUGAUUUAGACCAGUGGCCCCGUGGGGAGUUAGGAGAUUCGGGAACAUUUCAUUGGACACAGUCAUGUUUUGUAGGUUUCUAUAAUUAAGAGUUCUCUGGUUAGGGUCUUUAAUCCUCAUUUUUAUGCGGUCUUUGAAUCUUUCGGCAUGUCUAUCUCAACACCCAUCUUCCCAGUUCCUUUCUUUCUCGUCUUUUUGGCCAUUUUCUCAGUUCAUUAGAUGCAUGUGAUUUGGCAAAAGCUCAACUUGGAUGGUCGGGGUCUCCUUUUCUUUUUCAACUGAGUGUGUUCCAAGCAGAUGUGCCAUCCCUUUGAGGUGAUUCGUUCAAGACGACCACAAGUGAUGAGUGUUCUUAAGUUUCUCGUCUCAUGCUUUCAUUACAAUGAGUUCUCCCCGGGAAGCGGGAGAAUUGUCCAAAAAGUCUUAAACCUAUUGCAGUUUUGUCAAUUCAGUCUUAAACCUUUCAAUCUUACCGAUUGAGUCCUAAACUUUUUGUCGGUUUGCCAAUUGAGUCAAUCCGGCCAAUUUUGGCCGGAAAAUGUUGAUGUGAACGUCAGUGGUGCCACGUAAGACUGUUGGCGCUAACAUGGAUAUUUUUUAAUAAUAUUUUUAUUUUUAUUUUGAUUUUUUUAAAUAUUUUCUGUUUUUUCCUUUUUUUUCUUUUUGGCUUUUCCUUUGCCCUUUUCCGGUGGCCAACCACCGGCCAUCGACCACAACCAGCCGGCUAGCCUCGCCCGCCACAGGCGAGGCCCGACCGAGCGACGGCAACGCCAGGCGAGGCUAGUCUUGGCCCCGGCGAGGGCCGACCUCGCCAGAUCUGGUCUGGGUAAGGCCGAUGCUCGCCUGGGCCAGGGAAAGCCUCGGCAAGGGCUCCCCUCGCUCGACGUUGCCGUCACCCGGUCGAGCCUUGCUUGUGGCGAGCGAGGGGAGCCCUCGCUGAGGCUCACCCUCGCCCAGGCAAGUGUCAACCUGUGGCCGGUGGCCAGCCAUCACUUGCUCGACUAGGGGUGAGGCGACGCUCGCCUGGGCGAGGGCUAGCCCCGGCGAGGGCGAGCCCCGGUGAGGGCUCCCCUCGCUAGGGCUGGCCUUGCCCGGCGUCGCCGUUGCUGUCGCCCAGCCGGGCCUUGCCUGUGGCGGGCGAGGCCAGCCCUGUGGCCAGUGGCCGGCCAUCGCCUAUGGCUAGUGGCCGGCCACCGGAAAAGGGCAAGGGAAAAGCCAAAAAGAAAAAAAAAAAAAACAAGGAAAAAAAGAAAAUAUAAAAAAAUCAAUUUUUAAAAAAAAUAUUAAAAUGUUAUUAAAAAAAUGUCCACAUCAGCGCUGGUAGUCUUAUGUGGCACCGCCGAAGCCACGUCAACAUUUUCCGGUCAAAAUUGGCCGGAUUGACUCAAUUGGCAAACCGACAAAAGUUUAGGACUCAAUCGGUAAGAUUGAAAGGUUUAGGAUUGAAUUUGCAAAACUGUAAUAGGUUUAGGACUUUUUAGACAAUUUUCUCCCGGGAAGGAGCAAGGGCAUUGGGCCAUCUUCCUCUUUUCAAACGAAGGUGAACCUACAGAGAGCUUUUGCAAGCCCGGUGGAAGUUAUAUUUUCUUAAGUGAUGAUCAACGGAUGAAUUCGACAUGCGAACAAUGAUUGACCAAGUAAGGUCGAGUUCGGGUCGGUUUUUAGGAUGGUUGUCCAGUACUGAACCUGGUUACUUCCUUGCACGUAUAUCCCUGACCAAGUUGCGAAUCUCCUUACUGAUGCAACCCCAUUUCUAACUCCAUACCUACUUACCAAAGGUUCGACUUUCGACCUUCACAAUGGUUUAUGUUUUCCUCCUCCAUCAUUCGAUAGUUUGAAUAAAGGAGGCCCAACCACAUGAACCUUUCAAGUACAAAACGUGUUAUCGAGUCUAGUGACUACAGAUUUGCACUGGCCGCGAUUCCUUCAGCAUAUAGCCUAUAUGAUGGACUACGAAAGUAGAGCAUGAGCAAAUUGGGUUGGGGGGGUUACAUUCGCAUAUGCAUAUAAAGGGGCAACCCUCUCCACAUGAAAGAGAAAGAACUGCAGAGAACAUCUCCCUCCGAUUGAAAUGCCCAUAUUUAUACGUUUACAAACGCAAAUACAAGUCUUUCCACAGCAACACUAGUACACAGAGGAACCGAUUGACAUAAAAACUACUUAUAGUAUUUUCCCCGUUACAAACACGUGUAAUUCAUGUAUAACACUGUCCGUAAGUAACAGCGAAAAAUGAGUAAACACAAGUGAGACAUACCAACCUAGCAGUAGCACAUGAUACCACUGCGCUGCCACAUUUAUCCUUUGCAAUAGCAAUAAGCAGCGAACAACAGAUCGGCACAGCAUCACCUUUGCAACUGGAAGCAUCUCGUCCGUCAUUCAUAGCCAAACAACAAAAGCUUUUCACAAUGGAAGUGCCGAUCAGGAGAGUCUGAGUCUUCCAAAAUUAACCCUCGUGUCAGCUCCAAAAUCAAUGCUAUUCAUUUCUUCUUCUUCAUUUUCCUACCUGUUCCAAUACUUAUCCCAAAUGUCCGAGGCUUUUUUGUUAAUCUCUAUGUUCCCGUGAAUCUGGAGACCCAUGAUUUUCUCCAACCCCUCACAUUCUUCAAUCAUGUCCAUGACCAGUUCUCUGAUAGUUUCACCGCUCUCUAGAAUGCGUUCCACACCAUCUAGGCACACUCCUAUGAUCUCAGGGUCGGGGCAAAUAAGGAGAUCGCAGAGCGGCUUGAUAAAACCCUGGUUCACCAAGUAUCUGCAAAAACGACAAAGGUCAGAGUUCUGUGGAUCAUGUUGAAGUGUUCAAUGAAAAGCUCACACUUCCAUCUAUUGAUAUAAAUCUCUAAGCUGAUCAGUUGCAGUUGGAUAAUUCAAUUUGAUAUCAUCUAAACACCCCCCCCCCCUCCCCAACACCCCAAACUACUGUCACUGUCACUGUCACUUCAUAUUUCGACACUUCUAGAUUUGAUUUAGUACCAGCAUGUGCGUGAGAGAGGGCUUUGAAGUUUUUGGACAUUGAACACCCCCACAAUCCGCUUGCUUAAUGGAUGGAUCCAUUAUCAUCUCCAACAACACAUUACUACAUAAUACAUUUAACAACUGAAAUAAAUACUGCACUUUAUCAGUAAACAAUUUUUCAUCGAAAUGAACUGCCGAUGAUUUUUUGUCCGGUGAGACUUUCCUUUUCUUCAUUACUCUGCAAGUGCAGUCAACAUGAAAUGGAAUUGCAUUCCCUGCUUCUUCAAAUCCUUGCAGGUAAGAGGAUGAAACAAACCUAGACAAACCAUAUGACAAGAGGAACACGAAAAGAAUGACGAUCUCCAGUAAUUGACCAUUAAGUUUAGACAUGGACAUGAGCUACGGAUGUUUAAUUCUCUUGAGCUAUAAAAAAUGAAUCCAGAGGGAACAGUAUGGGUAUGAUUUCCAUCUUUUGGGUGAUAACCAGCGCAAGGUUCCACAUGUUGUGUUGGAGCAGAGUAAUGUAGAUAGAGACAUAUCGAAUUUGUUCAUGGGACCCACCACAGAUGGCAUUUGAAAUAGCCCAUGCAGCCUCUUUCUUUAUUUUGAAUUGGGCACGUUGAAGAAGGCUCACAACAGGAGGAAUGAAGUUUGCUUCAAUUACAGCCUGAAAAGGACAAUAAAACUGUUUUUACAAGAUUGUCAAAGCAUGUAACCUAUGGAAACAUCUCUUAAGAGAUCAAUUUCAUAAUUGAAAUGCUAUAUCAGAUAAGCAAAAGCUCCUCCCUAAUAAUUCAAAAAAAAAAAACAAAAGGAGUGAACGUAAUUCUGGUAUUCAAUCUUGAAGUGAAUUUUGGAAAUACAUCAGAAGUUCAUUAUCACGAAAAACAAAAGUGAACAAUUGCUGCGUUGAAGGUGAGACUACUCUGUUUAGGGAGAAGAGACAAGGUGCCAUCAAUUAUAGAAACAUUCACCCAGGAAUUCAGGAUAAUGGCAGGGCAGCAAUUUAGUACAGCACAAAUGAGCAAAAGCAACUACGAUAAGGUCUUAACAAACACUUCUUUCAUACUCAAUGCUCAAUACAAUAUAUUGUACUAUCAUUGAACAGAGGUAUUACCUGAAUUUGAUUUCUAUUACCCGCCGCAAUAUUUGCAAUUACCCAACAAGCUUCUUCCUUGACACUCCUAUCCCAAUUUUCAGUCAGAAUUUGACAUAAAGGAAGCAGUCCUUGAUUGUCAAUUCCAAACUGCAACCGAAAACCAAGUGUUGACACCUAAAUUUUGAUGACCCAUUUAAUUAUUUAUCAUAUUAAAAAAUUAGGGAUUAAUUUUAACCCCUAAAAAAAUAUUAGUUAAUUAAUUAAUUGCAUAGCAUAUAGUUUUAGGUGCAUUUAUUUUAAUUUGCAUUUACAUUGGGCCGGUGACAAAUGGGUUCAAAUUAAUGGUUCAGAAUAUUAAUUUGGUGAAUUGGACUAAGCCCACAAAGGGAGUAAAUUGGCCUAAGCCCGUAUCCUCGGAAAGAUUUUACGGAUUGAGAUUUUACGGAUUGAUUUAUGCGAGAUUUCAAAUUUUAAAAGAAUCCUCUUGCAAUCCCAAAUCGUAUCAAAAGCAAAUAUUACAUUUGGAAAAAGGAAUUUUCGUGGAUAUGGAUUUGGAAAAAUUAAAACCCUAACUCGUGGUCUAUAAAUAGAUUAAAUGCGUAGGGUUUAGAGGAGGAGGCCACACAUUGAAUAUACGGCCACAAUAUAGAAAGCAUACGUGAAGGAGAGGGAACGUGAGGGGAAAGAGGCUGGCUUUCUCUUUGCAAUGGCUCGUUGAAGCUUCCUCGUAGCAUCUCGGCGCAAUCUUUAGCAAAUCUCUACCACAUUAAACAAGCCUUCGAGCCAGCAUUGGAGUUCCAGCAGUCGUAUGAGUUUCCCAAAGAUAGUCCAGCAACCUCCAGGUGAACAUCCAGCGAGCCAGCUCCAAGGUGUCCUUGGCAGGUUUUCAGCAAGAUUCCCGCCACGACUAGCCUUAGUCGUGCCUCAUCAAGCAGCUGCAGGGUUUCUCGAGGGACGUCAAUAAUCUCAGUCGAGAAUUCCAUCCUCUGGUCACGUGUUCAAGUUCCAAUCGACGCCGAUCCCGGAGCCUUACCAAGCGAAGUUUCUUAGACGAUUACCUGGUCUUCUCGGAAUACCUAAUAGAGACGUCCACGAGAUAAACCCGGAGAGAGGCUCGUGCUUUCACUUCUCUACUGCACCCAUUCACAAAGUCCACGCAUGAAGAGAUAGGAGAAAAAUCGGGGCAUAGAUAUUCUCAGUAAAAAAGGGGUGGUCAACUUUGAGAGGGAUUUGAUUGUGUUUCAUAAAAAUUGAGGACUAAGCUGGAGUAGUCCCUGCACGAACAUCUUCUUUGGCCCACCGCUUCGGGAGGUUUCUAAAGCGGUCCCAAGUUGAUCACCAAGAUGUGAGCAGCCGCGUCUCUACCCCAUCAACGACCAGCCGCAGAGCCAUUGAACAUCGCAAAUCACCUGUGAACCACCACAGCCACUGACCUUGAGUCGUGCCGCCCCGAACCUCCGUUGCAGCCCAAUCCAUCACCGAGGACGUUCCUUUCACGGCCACCCAAGAUUCCUAAGUCGUUGUUCUGGCCAUCAUUGGUGAAUCACUCCAAUAGACUUAAAUCUCAACGGCGAAGCUGAGAGUGCUAGUAUGAACAAAAUAAAUGAGUUAGGGAAGAGAAUAAGAACACAAGAUUUAUAGUGGUUCGGCUUAUUCCAAGCCUACGUCCACUCUCCCACGCUAACAGCCUUCUUGGCUGGAUUCCAAUAUGCAAUCAACAAGAGAUUACAACUUCGAGUGCAAACACUUAGUAGUAGAUCCCACUAUCUCACUAAGUCACUCUUUUGGUAUUUCUCUCACGAUUACAAACGUUUAAGCUCUCAAGAGACAAGUAUAUGAUCAAAAGUCGCUCAGACUUUGGAAUUAUAAAUUCUACGCUCCGUCUCUUACUUGCUCAUCGGUCCAUGAUCUCCUUAAAUACUCCUCCACUUCCAAACUACCCGUUGGACAGUAUCCCGGAGAAUUGUCUUCCAAUAUACCCAUUGGACAGCUCUGUAUCUAGAAGAUUUGGUAGCCGUUGAGUGACAAAGGUAAAAUCCCAAAUUGAUUCCGAUCGCCCAUACAAACGAAAUCUUGGUUUCUAUAAGUAAAGCUUCUUCGUAUAGAAAGUUCUUGUCUUCAAGAUCCAAUUGUCAAUCAAUUAGAUUGAAUCAAUCAAAUCAAUCUUGAUGUGGAAUCCAAACCAGAUCACUAGCCGUUGUAUGAUUGGGCUUGAGUUACAAUUCAUUGAAUCUGGAUGUAAAGUCUGAGUCUGUAGACUUUACAAUAUGAGUCUCUAGACUUUACAAUCUGGGUCUGAACAUAUCUGCUUCUGAACAGAUUUAGCUUUAAGGUCUGUACCCAGUUCAACUUCAGUAUAGAGUCUGUCUUCUGGUUCAGCAUUCACGUUCAGUCUGGAAUUUGUCAGAGUGAGCAGACUUCUGAUGUAGAACAGACUUUGACACUAAAGUCUGGCAGUCUUCAGACUUUGAGUCUUGAGUCUGGCAGUCUUCAGACUUUGACACAGAAGUCUGGAAAUCUUCAGAAUAUAUUUUGGACAUGUGUUACGUUCAGUCUUCUGGUCGUCUUCUGACUUUGAUAAUAUCCUCUACAUGUUCUAACAUCUGCAUGGUCUAUUACUCAACCAUCAAACAUGUUAGUAGCCUUUGAUUUAUUUUGUCAUCUUCAAAACAUCAUAAGGGAUUUCCUUAACAGAAGCAGCCACGCCUUGCACAAGUCUUUCCUUGGAGGUUGAAAAUUUAAGUGUGGAUUUUAGAAGGUCAAAGUUUGACAAUCAAUGGGAUUGUCAGAAGGCUAGUGGAUUUCCCUGCGUCACCAAAUUCCACAAAACCAGCAUUGGGAGACCAAGAUUCGCCGUCCAUCGAGGAGUCCCUUGCCGAGCUUACAAAUUUUUGUUUCGCAGGUCUUGUGGAGCUCAUCGGGUGAUUUUCGAGCAACCGAGCACCACCACGUUGCAUCGCGAGUAGCCAUUCGAGGAUCGGAAUUUGGAAACCAAUAUUCGAGUUAGGUGAAAAUCUUAUCUAUUUUGAUUUUUCGAAAAUUCCAUUACCUUAUUUGGGAUAUUUGUCGAUGCAUAUAAUUGAAAUUCCCGAUAUGACAUGAUAUUCGCAACUCGAGUAGCUUCCUGAAUUAGGAAAUUUUCCUAAUUUCGCAACGUGCGUAUGAUUGACAGUCCGAUUUCAUGCUCGAAAUAUGACCAGUAAUCGCACGGAAAAAUCACCAAUCCAAUCUCACGCUCGAGAUACGAUUAGUGAUUUUGUCUAAAAUUGGCCAAUCCGAUCUCUUGUGCGAGAUAUGAUUCGUCAAUUUAUUUCCAAAAUUAAAUGGACAUGGAUGAUAUUUUGCUGGAUUUGUUGCCGUGUUGUUCUUGAUGCCUUUAUUUGUUUGCUCCCAUAAAAGAAAAAAAAACAUUUGAGUUAGAUUAGAUGCAUCUUAGGAUAUUACUUGUUUUAGGGUUAUUUUGCAUGUCUAGAAUAAGAGAUUUACUUAUUUCGAAUUUCAAAAAUAAAAAAAUCAAAAAUCAAAAAUCAAAUCAAUCAAUUUAGGUUGCUAGUUUUUUUACUUAGGUUGCAUGUUUAAUAAUUUGACAAUUCUUAAUUUCGAAAUUAAUAAAACAAAAACAAAAAGGGUUAUCAUGCAUAUGUCAUGUAGAAUAAAUGCAUUCUUUGCACGUCAUUGCAUAUUAGGAUAAAAUUUCAUGUUUCAUUUUAAGUUUAGAUAUUAGAUAGAUUGCAUUUUAGGACUAUUUGGGUUAAGAUAAUAUUUUAGUUUAAAUUAGGAUUUGGCUUAACCUAAUUCCUAAUGCAAAUUAAAUAGAAUCUUAAUCUAGUUAGACAAUUUUCACAUUUUUCCUAAUUCCGAAUUUCAUGAAAAAUAAAAAAAUGUCUUAGAAUAAAUUAGUUCCAUUCUUUAGAAUAAAUUGCAUGCUUAUUAGGAAAAUAAAAACCAUGUGCACAUCAUAUAGAAUUAGGUUCAUACAAUGCACGUCAUUUAGUGAUUUUUGUUAGGUUCAUUUAAUUAGAAAUUACAUGUCAUUGGAAUUAGGUCAUUUAGUUAAUAUUGCAUUGCAUAUUUAAAUGUUGCAUUUCUUUAAUUUCGAAUCCCAUAGAAAAUACAAAAAAAUGAUUUAGAAUAAAUCAUCUCAUGCUUAGAAUAGACUACAUGCUUAUUUAUGUCAUAUCGCUUAGGUCAUAUAGCUAAGUCAUGUUGCUAUGUCAUAUCAUUUCAUGUUAAAUUAGUGGCAUGCAUUGCAUAAAGCAUGAUUCUCAUUAAUUAAGUGAAAACAAAACAAAAAUUGCGUGUUAAUUAGAAACCAUAUCUAAGGUUGUUGAUGUGGAUUUUAAUUUAACAUUGCAGAUGCUUUCGUUGCUUUGAGGUAAGUCCUGCAAUUUAUUUUUUGCUUUACUUGAGUGUUAAAUUGGUGGUUUGCGCACCUGCAUGAACACCUCACAUGUUAGGGAAUUAGUUUAAAAUCAAUCCAAACUCCUUGCCAAACAUUUUUCAAAAUUAAAAGAAUGGUACCGAAAGGGCAUUAAAGAAAUCUAGUGUAACCAAGUCCCCGUACCCAUAAUCUCUGGUUCGUAGAAGUAAAAUAAUUCUAGUGUCUAAUCGACCUACCAUAAAUUGAUUAGUGGCGACUCCUAAUUGAAAAUCAAUUGCAUAUUAAAAACUUGAAUCUAAGUCGCGAAUUGGUAUGGGCUUGGGAAAGCCCGCGUUAAGUCUAGGCUUAACAAUCCAUUAGCCAAACCCUAGGUGGUUCACACCUCGAAAAAAAUUGGUCGCGACACCAAGUCUUCAGGUAAGGAUGAAAGAAGCUCGGUUUAAUCUUGGAAAGUAUCUACGAAUCCCAAGACAAAAUAAACAAGUCAAAAACAUCAGUUACAUGAACGCAGUUACUUCAAGUACAGAGAUAAUGGGAGAUGCACAUUUUGCUGCUCGGAAUCUAAAAGACCUAAUGACUUCAAAAGACUGAACUACGUUUAUUAGUUUCAGUCUUAUAAAGGGGACGGAAAGACCUGAGUCUGAGCCUCGUUGCCCGACACAAUGUUCCCCAGUCUUUAAGAGUCGGCACCUGGACUUCAGGUGAUGCACACCUGCAAAAGGAACCACAUAGGAAAAGAAACUGAAUCGGUGCCAAAAAAUAAAAUGAUCCGCUUAAAACAAAGUUUGACAGCACAAUCAGUGAAAUAUCCACCCUAGUGUCGCUUUGUCUAUACCAAGAUCCAAUCAGUAUUCAUGAAGCUUAAGUAAAACCAAUUAACAAAAUCUUUUCAGCCAGUGAAGUAUGCUUAACUAAGAGCACAAAUGGUUCGAUUGUUUUUUUUGGUAAAAGGUAAGAAGUAUUAUAGCUAGAGAACCAAGGAGCUAUACAAAAAGCACAGCAACACAGUCAAAUGGUUCGAUUGUUUUACUAUGCUCCUUUCACAAAUCGGUCUUCUGUAUUUGCAUGCCCAGACUAGAAAUAUAUGCAGCAAACCCGAUAUUCUUUCACCAUGCUAGACAACGCAUAUAUUUCAUCUUACACGAGAAGUUCUAGAAGCCGUGGCCAAACUCCUGCUUCAAUCACAGACUGGAUAUUAUGAUCUGAGCCAUCACAAAUAUAAGACAGAGUCCAGCACGUGUCAAUCAAUACUUCUCCAUCUUCUGAAUUAAUGAGGCACCUGAGGGUAGGCAAGGCCAGAUUGACCUAAAGGCAGCAAAGACAAAUCAUAAUCCUCCAAAAAUACUAAUAUACUAUUUUAGAAUUCUGAAAGACAGGAUCGGAAAUUUUAAUCGUUAAAUUAUAUGACUCAAGUUCACAUUCAAUUCAAAAGUAUAAGAUGAUUCAACUCUAAGGUGUUGGAGCAGAAUCCUUUCAUCUCAGUCAUGAUUCUUUCACAACUUGGUUCAGUUUACAAUUGAAGCACAGGGACUCAAUCAUAUGGUGCAAUCCCCUGAAGAGCCUCACCAACCUUUGUGGUUUGGCUCAUUCUAACAACUUAAAAAUGUGCUGACUAAAAUUUAAAUCGCAUGUGAUUCUAACUUGAAAUUCAACAAUUAAAUCAGCUAAGCCACUCGAUUGGGACUUAAAACCUCAUAAUAGACAUACUAAUACAUUAGGUAUAAAAGUUAGAUUUUGAUAAUUUACCUUGUGAUCCAUGAACCGAGAAGCAACAUUUCUUUUCCUUCCCUCAAUCCUCAUAAAGUCUAUUAGAACAAUAUAACUUCUCCAAUCUUUUUUUGAACAAUCGAAAGUCAUAACAGGAUCAACAUCAUUACAUUUCUCAGCCAAGGGAGACACCACUCGGAUCUACUUUGUGUUUGUGCGUGUGCAUGCAUGUGUGUGUGAGAGAGAACUUAUGGGUAACGAAAGAACUGCAUUUUGACAACUUCCCGUUUUACCUUUAAAUGACAAUUGAUUCUCAUCAAGUUUCAUUAAACUUGUUACAUUUAAUUUAUUUUCACGAAUCCCAAAAUGUGCAGUUUUGAGGAGCUAAGCUUCCUUAUUCAGCUAGUCUAGAUCUCAUCAGUGAAUCUUAUGGUCCACAACUCAGUUUGAUGAAAAACGUGAUUUGCCACUGAUGUUUCAGAGCUCAUUUUGAUGACUACAGAAAUUACAAACGAUUCCUUUCCUGUUCAAAUGGAGGCAGAGGCUUCCAACUGUAUAAGUUGGAUAAAAUCCAAGCAAUGCUCUUCAUCAGGGGCAAUCCUGGAUGUUUAUCCAAUUGAGCCAAUAGUGGGACUAGAGCGCCUCCACUUAAUACAUGAUCCCUGCAAUUUGGUGAGUCACCAGCAAUAUUUGCCAGUGCCCAGACAGCCUGCUUGAUUCAUGGGAAUCUAGGUUAGAUAAUCUCAUCCAUCAUAUUUACCAAUUUGUUUUAAGAAAUCAACUCAAAGAAUUGUCACGAGAAAAAACAAAAGACCCAACCUGUUCUCGAGCAUCAGCAAACGUAGAGCGAAGAAGUUGCACGAAUUUAUGGAUAGAUCCGAGUUGGAUGAUGAGUCGUACGUGAUCUGAUGUCCCAGAAGCUAUAUUGGCCAACGCCCAUGCAGCCUCAGACUGAAGAUGAAGAAAGAUUAUGACAUGAUGGCAAAUGAUUUCCUUUUGCCUGCAAAAAUCUAAGAUCUCAGUGAAAGAACAUUGAUAAAAACUAAAAGGACCAUACUUGUAGUAGAGGAAAAGCGCUCUCAUCAAGGAACUCCACGAGUCGAGGGACAACUCCUGCUCCGACAACCGCAUUGAUUGGAGGGCUCUCACCUUCGCAUAUAUAUGAUUCGUCAUUGAUCAUGCAAACAUUCCAAUAACAAUCAGGCUAAAGGAAAACAAUUAAAGGAGGAGGGACAGAGGGCUUUGAAAUUACCAGUCGAUAAUAACUCCCCGAUCAGUGUGGUUCCUUUUCAAUGCUGGGAAGAAUCAUCUGAUUGAAUCAUUGGCAGAAGAUCUUCCAAUUGCCAUAAAAACUUAUAAAAACUUAUCAGAAAUGAUUAUUUUUUAUUUUGUUCCGGAGAACUGAUUUUAAGCAUUUUAAGGGUGCGUUUGGGAAAACUUUUGGAGAAAGUCUUUGAGAAAAUAUAAAGGCCUUUGAGCUAAAAGGAUUUUUGGAAAUGCAAAUUGUAUUUGAUAAAUCGUAUUUGUGAAAGUCCAUUGUAAAGUAUAUUUGAGCAAAAUAGCGUUUGGACAAAUUAACUUUGCAAAAGACUUUUAUUAUUAAAAAAAAAGGAAAAAAAUGAGAAUUGGUUGGUUAUCGCCGGUGAGGGGUAGGCGGUCCGGUGAGGGAUAGGCAGGCGGUCUGGCGAGGGGCAGGCAGCCGGCUAGGGUCGCUGCGACUAGAUCGAGUGGCCGAUCUAGGUCACAGCGACCCUCGCCGGAACGUCGCACAACCCGCCGCACCACGACCUCCGUGUGGAGGUGGCUAGGGCCGCUCGAUCUGGUCGUGGCGACCCCGAUCGCAACCAGAUCAUCACAACCAGAUCGCGCAAUCUCAAUCGCACGAUUUGGGCUGCCGGAGGUCGCGCGACCCAGAUCGGUCGUGGCAACCUCCGGUGACCCAGAUCUGUGUGCGAUUUAUGUCGCCGGAGGUCGCGCGGCCCGGAUCUGGGUCGCGGCGACCUUCGGUGACCCAGAUCUGCCGGGGGUUGCAGUGUUGCCGGGGUUGCAGCGAUCUGCAACCCAGAUCUGGAUGGUUGCCGGGAGUUGCAGCGGUCGCAGCGACGCGAAGCGACUCACAGGGGGUCGCCGAGGUCAUGCGACUGGCCGCCGACGAUCGCCGUGACGCACCGGCCUCUUGCUGACCUCUGUCCAAUUCGUCGCUUGCCAUGGGCAGCUCCGCGCAACUUCGUCGACCAUCCUCAACGAAGAAGAAGAUGAAUAGUAACAAGGACAAAACUGGAAAAACGAAAUGUUUUUUUUUUUUUUUUUUUUCGGUAAAGGUAAUGGAUAUAUAGCUAAGGACAAUAAUACAAAAGCGGCACCAAAGACUUACACUCUAACUACAGUAAGUAGAAAGAAUGGAAGGGAGCCGAAGAAAGAGCCAAAGGCAAAGAGAAACAGAUACAAGAAAAACAGAAAGCGACCAACAAGGUCACUAAAACAGAAGUCACGACAGCCAACACGAAACCUUGGCAAUUCAAAAAACGAAGAGACCAAGAACGGAGAGCUGAAGUAACUUGAAGCAGGAACGCGAUCCAAGGAAUCUAUAGAGUCGAAGUACGGCCUGAGAAAAUGGAGGGAUGAAAGCCCCAGUUCCUCUGAAGACACCUGUUUCUCGGGAUAUCCGGAACAUUUGAGAAGGUAAGCGCUUUCUCCUUUACAACUUUGAUCAGGUGAUUUUUCAACGCAGAGACGACCAAGGCUUCCCCACGGAAUAUAAUAUCAUUAUUUUUUUCCAAAUCAAGUAACAUAAGGCAACAAAAGAAAAUCUAGCAAUACAGUAGAAGAACCCUUUACCGGAUAAGAAUUUAAUAGCCCAAGAUAGGUUAUCCACCCAUAGUCUCGCUCGCCAAGGUAAGUUACACCUUGUCGCCCAAAAGAAAGCAAGAGAAGCCGAGACAUGGCAAUAAAAAAAUAGGUGAUUGAUGGAAUCCGGAACUUCAUUGCAUAAUGCACAAGUGCAAAAGUCGAUUCUUCCACAAGAGAGAAGGAGCUCCUAGGUAGGCAAUCCGUUCCUCGUAAUCAGCCACAAAUUAAACUGGAAUCUAGGAGCAAUAUCAGAGUUCUAGAUAAGAGAAGCCCAAGGCACCCGGUUUUUUUCUAUUCUAAUGCAGUCCCAAGCAGAAGCCACCGAGAAGGAUCCGGAGGGAUCCCAACUCCAAAAGAAAUGAUCCAGAGUAGAGGAUGAAACCGGAAUGGAGAAUCCCAAGCUUUGAAGGAAAAGCCUGAAGGAAUUGCCCAUAGGGGAGAGAAGAUCCGCGACUACUGCAUUCUUUGGAAGACCAGAUGUUUCAAUAAGAGGAAGUGGAAUAAGCUGAUCAAGAGGGCCCUCUGAAAGCCAGCGAUCAAACCAUAAGGAAGCCGAAAGGCCAUUUCCAAUUUUCCAAAGAAAUGAUGACCGAAACUCUGCUCUUAGAAGUAAGAUUUUUUUCCAAGCCCGAGAGCAAACAGAAGGUGAGGAAGAGAUCCAAAAGUUGUCCCAUUUUAAGAAAGUGGAGUGAAUCCAACGACACCAUAAGGAUUCUUUGUCUGUGAAAAGAAUCCAAAUGUAUUUAAGCAUCGCUGAUUUGUUACCGUCUUUCAACUUACGAAUACCCAAUCCUCCUUCAUUUUUAAGAAGGCACACUUCAUCCCAUGCAACCUUAGCCUCGCCUCUGCCAAGAGUGGCGCCUUUCCAUAGAAAUUGUCUCAAGAUUUUCUCGAUACUAUUUAGGACCGAAACCGGCAAAGUAAAAACAUUGGACCAAUACGCUUGAAUAGAAUGUAAGACUGACCUUAUAAGUUGCAGCCUACCCGCAAAAGAGAGGAAGCAUUGAGUGCAUGACUGGGCCUUGGCAGUAAUCCGAACAAUCAAGGUCAUGCAAUCUGCUUUCCCAAGUCUGGAGGAGAUGAUCGGUACACCUAAGUAUUUCACUGGGAGCUUUCCUUCUUGAAACCCAAAUGCCAUAAGAAUAUAGUUGCGCAGCGAAGGAGCCCCACUCGAUAAAAAGAUUUCGCUUUUGUUCUUAUUCGGAAGGAGCCCACUCCAAGAAAAAAAUAGAUUGAGGCCCUUUUUCAGAAGAGUAAUGGAAGGCCAGUCAGCCUGACUGAAGAGGAAUACAUCAUCAGCGAAAAAGAGAUGAGAAAGACGGACUGGUUUACAUCUCCAAUAAUACUUAAACUCCCUUCGAGCAGUAUUUGCAUUCAAUAUUCUAGAGAAAACCUCCAUUACAAGGGUGAAGAGGUAGGGGGACAUCGAAUCGCCCUGGCGAAGCCCCCUCCCACCCGUAAAGAAGCCAUGCAGUUCUCCAUUAAUAGAAAUAGAGUAUUUCGGGGUCCGAACACAAACCAUAAUGAGUCGAGUAAGAGGUUCAGGAAAGCCAAAUGCCAACAAAGUAGUUUGAAGAAAGUCCCAAUCAACAGUAUCGAAGGCUUUCUGAAAAUCAACCUUUAUUGCGCAUUUGGGAGUAUAAGGUUCUAGAUGAAAACCAUCAAAAAGCUCUUGCGCCAUCAGUAUUGUCACGCCCCGAACCUCGAGCGCGCCAACAUCCCACCAUGGUCAUGCAAAUGCGACAUUCCCAGGUAGUGUCGCCGACCCCAUACAUUUAUUAAUGCGCAAGCGGAACGUAUUAUAAAACCCCUGACAAUAAAAUACGGGAUAGAAAAGCAAGAAGCAAAACCACAACAUAACACUUCCAUAAUUUAACAGAAUUACAAAGAGAGGUCUACGGCCAAAAGUCUACAAAAGACCGGCUCUUAAAAAUGAAUUGUCCUACGACCUACAAGUCGGACACGUUAUCCAAUCUUAUGACUUCACCUCUGCAACUCCUCAAGGCCAACCAAAGCUAUCUGGUCGCUCCGUCCACCAGGGACCUGAAAUUUUAAUCCCACAACCGGGAUGAGACGAUGUCUCAGCAAGUUCAACCCCCUAAACCCUUAUUAGAAAGAAAAUACGCCCAAGGGUGGCCUAGCCACAUCACACAGAGAACUUACCUCGCCUCAAUUCCUUCCUGCAGGUUAGCACAAUUUGUAUCACACAAUCUCAGGUAGUAAUAAUAAUUCAAACAAUUGGAACGCCAUCACUUUCAUAUAAAUCACGAUCGCACUUAGCACGCAUUCCAAUUAUUAUUCACUGCCACACAAAGGCAUAGCCUACUCGCGGAUCGGUUAUCUACUAACAUUACGGCAUUUCUAGAAGAAUAAAGGUCCAGUCGGUCUCGCCACUACUGCGACCAAGCCACGUCAUUCUCUUGACGGCAUUUCUAGAAGAAUAAAGGUCCAAUCGGCCUAGCCACUACUACGACCUGAGCCACGUCACUCUCCCUUGACGACAUUUCUAGAAGAACAAAGGUCCAGUCGGCCUAGUCACUCUCCCUUGACGGCAUUUCUAGAAGAACAAAGGUCCAGUCGGCCUAGCCACUACUGUGACCCGAGCCACGUCACUCUCCCUUGACGGCAUUUCUAGAAGAACAAAGGUCCAGUCGGCCUAGCCACUACUGCGACCCGAGCCACGUCACUCUCCCUUGACAGCAUUUCUAGUAGAAUAAGGAUCCAGUCGGCCUAGCCACUACUGCGACCCGAGUCUUUCAACCAGCACACAACAAUUCAAUAAUUAAUUGCACAAAUCAUCACUCAAUUUGUAAUAUCUAAUCAUCAAUUUCAUAUUCUGAAUACACAGCAGCGAUCAGCACAAAAUUCUGAGAAUUUAGGGUCCCAACUUAAUUUUCGGAAUUUAUUUAAUAACUAAAUUUAUUUCGAAAAUUAAUUAAAUAAUAAUAUCCCUAUCUUUCACAAUCCACACUCGAUUUAUAAUAUCCAAUCAUCAAUUUCAAAAUCUGAUUACACAGCAGCGACCGGUACGAAAUUCUGAGAAUUUAGGGUCUUGACAAAAUUUUCGGAAUUUAAUAAAUAAUUAAAUUUAUUCCGAAAAUAAUUAAAUAAUAAUAUUUUAAUAAUUUCGAAUAAUAAAAUAUUAUUAAAUCAUUAAAGAAUUUCGAAAUAUUUAUUUAAUCCCAAAAGUAAUUCAUUUAUGUCAAAUCAAGGCUUAUUUUAAAUAAACCCACUUACCCUUAAUUAAGCACACUUUAAAUUAAACCACCACCUUAAUCAAAUCUACUCUUAAUUAACCUAAACUAACAACCUAAUAAUACUUAAUAUAAACUAAACCUCCUUAAGCAUAAUUAACCCUCUAAGCGAGGUUUAGUGAGCUAAAUUCACCGGAUUAGCGAGCCGAGCGGACCAAAACGACGGGGACGACGCGAGGAUCGACUUUCCUCAAAGCGGGCCGAGCAUCCGGGCUCGGGAAGGCGGCCAAAACGGGCCAAACACCCGCUGCCAUACCCAUUUUUCCAGAUUCUGUUUGGGGCCGAUGGAGGGCGGAUCCGGCGCCGGAAUGGGCGGAGGAGGGUAGGCGGCAGCUUGGACGGGCUGAAGGGGAGGUCGACGGCGGCGGAGGGAGCUCCGGCGAAGGCCCGAGCUGCUGGAACGCAGGCUGGCACGAACGAGGGCGACGAGCAGGCGAGCUGACCGGCGGAGCGGCGUGCGGACGGCGCGGUGCGGCGGACGGCGCGCGAGUGGCAAACGGAAGUCCGGCUCCGGCGGCUUGCUAUUCGAUCUUCGCUGCUGCUUUCGCUCUCAGAUCUGCUGGAGACGUCGAGCAGAAACCGGAGACGGAGAAGAGAGGAGAGAGGGAGGCUGAGGUCCGAGCGGCGAGGCGCGGCCACGACGGCGGGCGGACGGGCGAAGGCGGCGACGGCUCCGGCUGCAGCUGCGACGGUUGCUGGCUUCUGGUUGCUGGGUUCGAAGCUGGAGAAGAAGAUGGAGAUGGAGAGUGGUCGCACGGGAGAGAGGAAGAAGAGAGGGAGGAGAGAGAAGGAGGGGGCCCUUUUCAUUUUCUUUUUCUCUUUCUUUAAUCCAACAAAAAUGGCCCACCAUGACCUAGGAUGACAUCACACUCCACUAUCUCCCACAACCUUAUUCCAAUGGUUGCAAUUCCAUUUUCCGUCGGGGCAUAAAACUUUGUACAUCCAAUUUCUUCAAUUCUCAUCAAUUCUCUCCCAAUUGAAUCAAAUUGAAGUCCAUAAAAUUAAUCCAAUGUCACCACACUCUAGUUCACAUCUUCACUUGUCCAUAGAACCAACUUAAGUCUCAAAAGCGCGACCAAAGACGAGCCUACUAAUUUCUUGAGCCAAAUUAGCCAUUCUCUGAUUAUUUUGCUGAAAAACUCGGUUUGCAUGAAAAAUCUUCUGAAGAUUAGUCAAUGUUCCUAAAAUGAUUUGUGACACACCCAGACUUCCAAUUUCUGAAUUCGAUCUCAAUUUCACGGUUAAUUUCACUUUGGCAUGAUACUAGUGCGGCCCAACCUACCGGGUAGCUUUUAGAAAUUUUCAUGCAUUUGACCUGUGGUUGAUCAUCGGAAGCCACAAUGUACAUUUUUGAAACAUUGGCGACUUUCGGUUGUCGGGGUAAUCUCAAGAUUUCAAAUACGAACACAGGGUACCCAAUCGAUAGAAAAGUCGGUCCAGUGUCGAUCGACAAGAAUUGUGCGAUCUUGUGGAAUCACCCACACUCGAUCACAUGCCUCUGUCGAGUCAACCUAUUUCCGGUCUCUAAUCGAUUUUUAUUUGUGCUGUAAUGACCCUUGUAGAUUAGCUCGGUCGAAAGAUCGCUUCCUGGUCAAAUUCUCAAGUCUGAUGCAUUAGAAUUUCUUAACGGCUUCACCUGAUAGAUUAGUUUUCACAUGAGUGGCCGACUCAAGGAAAAGAACUAUAUGCGUGCCAACGAAAUGCCCGUCUCAAUUUAUUGAAAAUAGAAUUGGAAAAUUGAGAUGUCACAAGUAUAUUAUCCCUAAUCCUUCUCCCUUUAACAAAUGCAUUCUGGGAAGAAUCAACCAAAUCGCUCAAGAUAACAGCUAGGCGAUUAGCCAAGAUUUUUGUGAUGAGCUUAUAAAUAGUAUUACAGCAAGCGAUAGGUCGGAAAUCAGUCACAGCACAAGCAUUAGGCACUUUAGGUACCAAGGCAAGAAUGGUACUGUUUACCUCUCUCAAAAGACGGUCUGAAGAGAAGAAAUCAGAAACCGCCUCCGUCACCAACGGGCCAACAGUCCCCAGCAAGUCUUAAAGAACUCAACAGUAAAGCCGUCAGGACCCGGCGCUUUUCCUUUUGCGAGAGAAAAGAGCGUAUCUUUAAUUUCAUAUUCCAAGACCGGUCUAGAAAGGGAGAAUACCUGAUCAACCGACAAAGGUCUUCGAAUGAACUCUUUAACGUCCUGCAAUGAAGGCUUGGAUAGCACCGUUUGAGGAGAUAAGAGAUCAUCGAAGAAAGAGACAAAAACCUGUGGAACCGCUAAAGGGUCACUGAUCAAAGCACCCGAAGAAUCCUUAAGUGAGAGGAUUCUAUUCCUAAGCUGCCUUCUCUUGACGGAAUUAUGAAAAAAUUUAGUAUUUCGAUCACCUUCCUUGAGCCAGCGGAUUCUUGAUUUAUGCAUGUAAAAAGAUUCCUCAUCUCUAUGCAAGUUCACAAAGAGCUUACGGUGCGCCUUCUCAAGAUCAACAAAGUCAGAGUUGGUUGGAUCAAGAUGAAGAUCAAGCUGAGCAAGACAAAGAGCUUCUCUAGCUUCCGCUGUCCUCACUGAAAUAUUGGAGAACUCCUCCUUAUUCAGUUGUUUGAGCCGGCUUUUUAGCACCUUCAGCUUGGAUACUAGUUUGAACAUAGCAACCCCAACAACCGGAGUAUCCCAAGCUUGCUGAACGAUGGAAGGGAAGUCAGAAUGCUUAGCCCAGAGAUUAAAAUAUUUGAAAGGCCUUCUUUUAAAAAACGGGUUAAGGACUCUGACAACCAUGGGCAAGUGAUCCGAGAUGCCCGGAUUCAGGAACGAGGCCUCAGAGAAAGAGAAUUCCAUAUUCCAUUUAGAAUUAACCAAAACGCGAUCGAUUUUCCUCAUUUUUCUAGAAGUACCAGCAGAGGUCAACCAAGUAAACCGAAGGCCAACAUACCUAAGAUCACCCAAUUUAGUCUGAGCUAAGCAGUUUCCGAAUUCAUCAAAAUAAGGAAUCCAUAGGUUGGAGCCACCAAAUCGGUCCGAAGGAUCUUUAAUGGCAUUAAAAUCUCCAGCUACGAACCAAGGCAUAUCCUGCAUAAGAUUAUUCAUACGGAGCAAGUCCUCCCAAAGAGGCCGGCGGUGAUUGAAAUAAUGUUCUCCAUAAACAAUAGACACGCAACAAACCAUACCAGUCAGGGUGUAUGUAAGUCUACAAUGUACAGCUUGAUCAUUGAUCAACAACGUUUCAUAGCUAACAUACUCAGGGUUCCAGCCCACCCAAAUUCUUCCACGAGGGGAGAAAUCAUAAUUUGCAACUCAAUUCCAACCAUUCAAAAAGGAGGAGGAUAUAGAUUCAAAAGAAACUUCAGGAACUUUAGUCUCGAUAAGGCCAAUAAGGCACAGAUUGUGGGUGGAGACAAAUCUCCUAACUUCUGCCCGCCUAACAGGGUUCAUGAGGCCUCUUAUGUUCCAAGCACCUAUAUACAUAUUUAUAAAGAAGAAGGAGAAGAUUACCUCUUCUUGGUGGCCCUUUUCCGACCCACAGUCGGAUUAGGAGCCACAGAAGAAGGAGGAUCCGGGCAUAUAAGCAAGAGCUUAUCUUGGAGUGUCUCAAUCGGGACAUUUUUGUGAGGGGCUUUCGGAGAAGGGCAUCCAAUCGAUAGCAGGUCCUCAUUGUCCGAAACGGCAUGAAUGCUGGAGUUACCAAUCUCGUCCGAACAAUCAGAUAGAAUCAAAGGAGGAGAGACGACUUUCGCUUUUGCCAAAGAAGAGCUUUCAACAACCUUCGAGAAAGAUAAUGAGAUUCCAGGAGUCUUGUGAGGCAACGAAGCAGAACCAACUUCCCUAGAUACAGGGCCUUUUAGUUUUAGCUUUAGAGAAUGCCCCCCUUCAGUGGGCAGGGCUAAACUAAAAGAUGCAGCUCCUUUCUCGACCACCUUCUUAUUUCUUUUUACUUGCUUCCAUCCCGGGUCAACAGUAGCAUGAGGGAUUGCAGCAGAGACAGUAGGCAAAGGCAACUCCUGAGCUCCUUCGCAUCCAGAAGCCAUUGCAGUAGAAUUGAGAGAGCUCAGAGAUUUAUCAGCAGUAGAAUUUGUUACCUUAUGCAUUUCAGGGAGGGUCUCCUCUGCUGGAAUAGGUCCAGCAUCACGCUUCUUAAUAAACAAGGGGUUAUCAUGUGUUCUGUCCGAAGACUGAGCGAACUGAGGAUGCGAGCUUGCUUGAACUGCAGGCCGAGAAGAAGGGUUAGGAGAUGAAGUCCCAUCUUGAGGAGCAUGGGAUCUAGCGAUCAAAGAACGUUGAGCAUUUGCAGUAGAGAGCUGAGCAACACUAGCACUGCAUUUGUGGCCAAAGACACCACAACCUACGCAAGCCGUGGGUCUCCAUUCAUAUUCUACUUUCACCAAACACGAAUUGCCCUGGUGAACCAAUUCAAUGGACUCACAUGAAGGCUGCUUUGUUGUAAUCUCUACACAUACUCUAGCAUAAGCCAGAGCUUUCAUUUGAUUAGUACUUGUGUCUACAUAAAGCAGUUUACCAACCUUACUUGCAAUCUUACUGAUAGCCUGAGAAGACCAGAACACGGGAGGUAAGUUUUUAAGCCUUACCCACACAGGAACUGUAAGGUGGGAGUCCUUCCUCAAAUCCAGGGCCGGUCUCCAUUGUUGCAACACAAAAGGCACCUUUGAAACGGUAAUAAGGCCUCCUUCCAACACUUUUCUCCGGAACUCCCAAUUCGGAAUAUGGAAAUAGAAAAACCCCUUCCCAUCAGCCAUUAGUUCGACCAAAUUAGGCCCCCACGCCUUUUUGAAAGCUACUUCUGUAACUUUAAAAGGAAUUCUUCUGCCCAGAUAAUAUCCAACGAGACAAUCCUGAAGUUUCGGGUCAGCAGCCUGCAGAUCAUCAUCAAUCAUUUCCACAGAUGGCCCAUCAUUGACUGGAGGAAUGAACUCCAAGUCGUAGCCUUUGGUGGCUACUCUGGCCACAGCCACACUCGCCCAAUUGCGCAGGUUUGAGCUUCUUGAGACUGCUCGCUGAGGUCACUUCGAAUCUGAUCUACCUUUGCUUCUCCCUCGUGGCCCAUCUGGAUCACGAGUGGAACGGGCUUGAACGGAAGGCUGCUUCGAACCAGCAAGGGGCCGAACAUAACCACCCAAGUUCUCAUUAGCAACACCGCCACGAGAGGAGGGGCCAUGGUCAGGAACGGGAGGGCUACGGACAGCCCUUUCCCCCUCAAUUUGGGCUGAAGAAGUUUCGGGAUCCAUAACAGCAACGAAUUGCAGAGAAAGGGCGAGCAAACCCUAACCAAACUCGGCCAUUUGAAGCCCAAAGAGAUCACGUACCAGGGAAAACUUAAGGGGGGUUGAAGAGGCCUACCAAGCGCCCCAAGUCGCCAACAACUAGCUUCAACGAACUGUCAGCAGGAACAAGGCUUCAGACGCCCUUUUUUGAGAGCUUCGGAGAACAGAGCGACGCACGGGAAAAGCGACACAAAAGGGCUGAGGUCGGAGACGGAUACGCGGGCGCUGGGCAACGGGAGCAGUGAAGGCAACGUCACUCGGAGCUCCGGCGACGGAGCCGCUGGUGGCUGCAGCGAGAGAAGCGACGUUCGGCAGCGCGGGCGUCGGCUGAGAGGCGCUCGGGCGGAGGGCAGGGGCAGAGGCGCAGCGACGGCGGAGGGUAGGGACGAAGGCAUAGCGUCGGGCAAAGGCAGAAGCAUGGACGCUGGGCGAAGCUGCUGAGGAGGCAGGCGAGUGGGCGCUCGAUGUAGCAACGAGGCAGAGCUUCUUGGGAUUCUUUUUCUUCGGAAAAACAAAAUGUUAGUGAGGACAUUUGUGGAAGAAAUUUUUUUAGCUUAUUCUCCCUCAACCUUCCGAGAAGGCCGAAUGCCCAAGGCAGCCCCCAACCUGCCUUGGGCUUUCAGCUUUGAGAAGACUUGCCUUUGGCAAAAGCAAGUCAAAAAAAAUUUGCCAAACACUGAAUAUUUGGCCCAAAGGCCUUUAGGGGUUUAAAGAUCCUUGGCAAAGUGGUUGCCAAACGCAGUCUAAGUCGUUUAGUAACUAUUCAAAAUUUAUGAUUCUGAAAUAGAUUUGUGUUUUGUAUCGUGCUCAUUAAUUCUGUUUCAAAUCAAUUUAUUUUAAUUUUUAAAUAAUUUUUUUACUUUUUACUUUUUCUUUUUCUCUUAUUCUUCUUCUUCUUGUGACCCGUUGCCGGACCGGCCACCAGCCAAAUGAGGGUUGGUGACCUCAUCGGAGCGUCGCCGGCCCUCGGCGAGGCUGGCCCUCGUCAGCCGAGCCUCGCCGAUGGCCAGGUCGGCCUUGCUGGGGCUAGCCCAGCCCCGGCGAGCUCGCCGGACUGGCAGACGGCGGACGGCGGCCGGCAACUAGCGACCGGCUGUCGGCAGACGGUGGCGGACAGUGGUGGACGGCGGUUGCAAGAUGGCCGAAGGGAAAAAGAAGAGUUGUUAAUUUUAAUUCUCAAUUCUGAUUUUGAAACAAGAAUCAACUUUUUUUUUAUUCUUGAUUUCACUCUCAAUUUGUUCCUAUAAACAAAAAUUUUAUUAAAUGCGAUUCUACACCAUUUUGAGAAAAAAAAAAUCAGAAUUUGGUCAUGUUUGGACCUUGCAGUCCCACCUUUUCUUUUUCUGCAAAAAGCAAGUGUCCCAGAUUUCUUAAUUGCCUCCCUUGAUCAACCCCAUUUCUCUCUUCUUCUUUUUUGUGGUUUCCCCCCAGCAUUUUAGUUUCUAUAAAUAACAAGUCUUCACCAUUAACAAGACCGAUGAGUCACCCAGCAAACUAAGCUACCCAGUGACCGAAACGCACUCCAGAAAAUGAAGAGGAACCGAUAGAGAAAGGUUACCAACAAUUGAAAAUAGUCAAAAACCAGGUAGAUUGCAAAGACUGGUUGAGCACACUCGUCAACGGAAGGACGAAUUAAAACACACGAGAGAGAGAGAGAUGGAGAGAUAAAAUGAGAAAGGAAAACCUUGGGUUGAAUUUGAUGAAGGUGCGCAUUGUCAUUGAGAAUUGUUCUUCCUGAUUUGCACCAGCUUCUCCUCUCUCUUUCUCCUCGCUUCCUCGCCGCUCACGCCCUUCCCGUACCCGUUCUUGCGCGUCGCACUGGAUGGUCUCAGAGACAUUGCUCACCUCCCUCUCAACUCCCUCCCCCCCCUAAGGUCCCCAGUAGCGGGUCUGUCCUCGGCAAGCUCCAAGAAAGUGAUCAACGUAGCAAAAGGAGGAGGCAGAGAGGAAGUAUGGCAAGUGGGUAGGAAAAAGCUGCCCUUUUUUUGAUAAAAGAAUAGCAGAAGACGAAAUUAACAAAAAAAAAUAAAAAGCAGAAGACGAUAGACACCGGCUCGGGCUUCGUGCAGAGUGGAGAACGGGAGAGAGAGAGGGAGACGGUCUGCAGCGGAGAGAGAGCGUCGCAGAGGAGAGCAGAGGUGGGCCAGGUCUACAGGAGAGAGAGAGAGCAGAAGAGAGGGAACCAAAAUUUUAAAUCGCUGAAUGCGAGGCGACACGUGUCAGCUUCUGAACGAUUUUACGUUUGGCUUAAAUGGGAGUGUAAAACCACCUAAUAUUUUCUAACUAAUUAGGUUGCGUAUCAGAACAAAAAAAAUAUAUAUAUAUAUAUAUGUUUGGUAACACCAAAUUGAUUUUCUAUUUCGGAGAAUAGAAAGUUAGUCUAAAAGUAAAUUUGGAGUAAAAAAGAGAAACAAAAAAAAAUUGCUUAUGUUCCCGGAAAUAAUUUAUAUAAAUAAGUAAUUUUUUUUCUUUUAUUCUUCUCUCUUGUCGUGGCCACUUUCAACCACCUGGAGCCACUGCCAACCGCCCCCGUUGCUGGUCGUCGGCCGCCAAUUGCUAGCCUCUGCCACUGUCAGUCGUCGUCACCGACCUCCUCUGCUGCUGCCGCCGCCGGCUUCCGCCGCUGGUUGCCCACCGCCGCCGCAUGACCACCCGUUGCCAGCCGCUCGCCACCCGCCGCCGCAUGAUCGCUAGCCACCGACCGUCGGUAGCCGAUGGGCUAUGCGGCGGCGGUCGGCAAUGACGGUCAAUGGUCGGUGGUCGUGUGGCGGCGACCAAGGGUAACGGCCGGUUGCGGUUGGCAGUCGACAAUCCGUGAAUAAGAAUAAAAAACGAAUAAAUAUAAAAAAGAAAUUGUUGCGUUACCAAACGCAUUUCUAUUCUUUUUCUAUUCCAAAAGUAGAAAUUUUGUGUAAUUACCAAACGGGUUUUUUUAUUCAGAAAUUGUUUCUCGGAAUAUAAAUAGAAAAGAACUAUUUCCGAAAAAAAAAAAACUCUUCCCCAAUCAAGAAAUGUUGUCAUGUGCAUCCUUAGUUGCCACUUGCCAAGUCUUGUUAGCUUGACUUUUUAUGUUGUGGGAUCAUAAAAUUCCAGGGCGGGUCGGUCCUUACCUCUCGAGCCUCUCCACCGUCGCGAGAGAGAGAGAGCAGAGCAGCAAUAAAUAAAUAACGGUGGAGCCCACAGUUGCUGGACCCACCUAACUUGGAGNNNNNNNNNNNNNNNNNNNNNNNNNNNNNNNNNNNNNNNNNNNNNNNNNNNNNNNNNNNNNNNNNNNNNNNNNNNNNNNNNNNNNNNNNNNNNNNNNNNNAACAAACCAAAUAAUAAAUUAUGAUAAAUGUUUCGAGCAGGUGGACUUAUCCGAUAUACCCAACCCCCUGCAAUCCCUAUCUAUCUUAACUAGUUAGCAAGACAAACAUUCUUGAGGAAACAAGGGACUCCCAUUCUUAAAGAAAUAACUGUAAAUUAUGUAAAAAUUCACAGCUACCAUCAUCUUAAGUUAAUUUUUGAAAAAAAAUACUAUGGAACACUUAUUUGUUACUUACCUAUGAUUUUCAGCAAGCUUAUUUACAAAUCCAUAGAAUGAUAUCGCCCUGUCCAGAUUUCUGCCUCUAUAUUCACUUUGGUGGGGGGGGGGGGGUUUGGGUUGUUCAAGGUGGCCGGGGUGGCUUUGCUGCGGUAGAGUUUCGGUUGUGAGACUUGAUGCGGAUCACCUCAACCCACCCAAUUGAUAUUUGCUCAUGUUAUGCUGACGUGGCAUCGUCUUGGAAGAAUACACCGGAUUGGUCGAAUUUAAUGGAGACAAUACGUUGAAUAUAAUUUCAAAACUUGUGCUAUCUUGUCGGUUCGAUUCCUAGCUGUGCUUGAGAAUUGCUUAUGCGUCUCUUGUUAUAUGAUUCUUGAAAAUUCUCUCUUUACCAGUAGUCGCAUCAGUUCGAGUUCCGAAAAAUUUCAUCUUUCUCGUGUUAGAACUCUCUCUCUCUCUCUCUCUCUCUCAAUACAGUGACAACAUACACGACGCAACCUACUCGAUCUAGAACAGCAGAGCAGGGAGAGAGAGAGAGAUCUGUGUUAGCGAAUCAGCAUAUCAUCUAUCGAUUCGCCUAUCUAGGGUUUAUCUUCGAGGUUAGGAAUUUGAGCGUGCCGGUACAUGGAAUUGGGGAAUGAUUCUCUUCGGGGCUUGUUAUCUUGAGUAUUGAGAUCGCGUAUCUAGGAUUUAUCUUUCUUGCUUUGCUUGCUUUGCGAUCUUGUAAAUCUGAGAUCCUGGGUUUUCAAUUUCCACCGUUCUAUGGAUUUCUUUUUUUUUUUGUGGAUUUUUCACUAUAGAGUUCUGUCGCGACCUCUUUUUUUUUUCGGCGCCCGCAAUCGUGUACGAGCGCCUAAGGAGGCUAAUGGCUCGGCUGAAUUUAAUUAUGCCCGGACUCUCCCAAGUCCACCAAUUCACGACUUUAAUAGUCUAAGUUUUUAACCUGUAAAUCAAUUUUUAAAUUGGAGUCGCCAUUAAUCGAUUUGGGGUGGGUCGAUUAGAAACCCAAGCGAAGUAUCGGGAGAAAUACUCGCUCCUGCGUAACCAGAGAAAUUAGGAUCGGGGACUUGAUUACACUAGUUAAUCACUAAUGCCCUUUCGGUACCUAAUCUUGUUUAAACCCUGAGGUUUUUGGAUGUUCGAGGGAUUUUCCAUGCAUUUUUUAGAGGAAAAGUAUUUUUCUCAUUUUUUGGACAUAAAAGGGAUUUUUUGGUAUUUUUUGGAAAAGUACAAGUCUUUUUGGCUUUUUCUGAAUUUUUUUGGCUUUUUCAUGAAUUUUUGGCUUUUUUUGGAUUUUUGGCAUUUUUUGGAAAAUAUGAAAUUUUUUUGAUUUUUUGAUUUUUUGAUUUUUCGGAAAAUAAAAUAUUUUUUUAAUAUUUUUUAAUAUUUUUGGAAAAUAAAUUAUUUUUGAUUUUUCUCGAUUUUUUAGAAAAUAAAACAUUUUUCAACAAUUUUUUAAUAUUUUUCGAUUUUCUGGAAAUUAAAACAUUUUUGAUUUUUUUUAAAUAAACCAUUUAUUUAUUAUUUAUUAGAAUAUUAAUUUAUAUUAAAAUAACAAAAUAAAACCAACCCGGGUCGGAUCCGCAGGUUGGGUCCGACCCGGGCCGGCGACCCAAACGCGGAUGGGCCCGCGUUGCGGGCCCGACUCGGAUUUUUGCCCCCCCUUUUUUUUUUUAAUAUUAAAACGACGCCGUGGCCCAAAAGCCCGUUUUCGAAAAGAAUCGGGCCAACCCAUUGACCCGGUUCGGCGAAACCCUACCCGAUUCGCCGAACCGGAUUUCCGCCGCCCAAAAAUCAUGGAAACCCUACCCGACUCGCCGACCCGGCUCCGACUCCAUGACCCGGCUUCCAACCUCCCUUGGCCUCGCGAAACCCUACCCGACUCGCCGACCCGGCUCCGAUUCGACGACCCGGAAAAUCGCAAACCCUAGGGUUUGCAAAUCCGCGGCACCGAGGGAGGAAAACCGAGGCAUUACGACGGCGAUGGCGACGGUGACAAACCGGCUACGGGGACGGCGAGGACGAGCAACAACACUGUUGCGCUGGUGUGGUUGGUGGCGACAUGGUCCGAGAGGGGGAAUGUGACGGCGAUAACGCGAUCGACGGCGGUGACGGUUACUGUUACCUGUCCGUGACGGGGUGGCAAAUGGUGUCGGUGACAGGGCAACUCGGUUUCCCGAUCUGGCGCUGCGUCGGUGGACCAAUCACGGCAACGGCUUCACAGGUGGGCACAACAACAAGCCGUCGAAGCAACGGCGUCGGGACUGAGGCGAACGGCUGCGGCACGGCGUCCGGCGGCAACAACAGCAGCAAAAAAAACCAGAUCUACUGCGUAGCUCUCGGCCGGACCCUCCUCGGCCUUGAUUCCUCCUCACUCAGGCCAGAUCCGAGCCUCCACCGGCCGGAUCUGACCUUCUCGAAGUCACUCGCCGCCUACCUUCCCCGAAGUCUCUCGGUGGAAGGUGGGCUGAGCUCGCGACUCGAGCUCUCUCCUGCGCUCGCCCUUCAACCCUUCCCGAUGUCUCUCAGUGAAGGAUCUCCGAGCUCGCCACACCCUUCGACGAUGCUUGCGGCCACCUAUUUAUAGGCGAAGGAACUCCGGUCGACGGAGGGGCUCGGUCGCCGGCCUCCAGCUUGCCCACCGGUUCCGCUCGGCUGAACUGGUGUCCCAUCGAGCUUUCUAGCGAAGCUCGCUCAGCAUUAAUGGCACCUGCGAUCUUAUCCCCUCCGGCCGACAUUGCCCUACACUCCUCGGCCGUAGGUCGUCCUUUGCGCGCGUCGCCGGCCACCGCGCGUGAGAUGCAAGCGACUGAGGAAGAAGAAGACAGGAGGAAGAAGAAGAAAGAAAAGGGGCCGGGCCAAGGGUGAAGGAAAAUGGGCCAUAUGGGCCACGCGGAGGGGGAAGAGAAAGGGAAAAGAAAAAGGGCUGGGCUUUUGCUUUUUUUUUGUUUGUUUGUUUAUUAAUUAUCUUAUUUAUCCGAAAUAAAAUAAAAACUUAAUAAAAUAAAAUUAACCUAAUUAAAAUUGAGGUGUCAACAAGUUCCAAUUUUCGCCAUCUGUUCUGAGCUUUGUUCCUUAGUGAAACCCUAAGUCCUAGCACUCUGGUAGCUGGUCUUCAUAUAGUCCUGAUUUUUUGAACCUUUGACUGCUUUGAUUCCGCGAAUUUCUUGGGUCCUUCGGUGUAUCCGGGGAUCUCUGCUGGGAAUUUGUGAUUUUUUUGAUCGGAUGAAUUCAGUUCGCAUCAUAUACGGAUUACUUGGAUCUUUUCCAGGUAUUUGACCUUUUGGAAACAGAUUCUUGAAUGCUUCAACUGGAAAAUAAAAAUAAAAAUGGCUUUUAAGUGAAAAGGCAGUCAAAGAUUGAACUGGGUGUUUCUUGUUUGCUUCUCGGGGAAGUGACAAUCACGAGGACGGUCAAAUUUCGUGCUUUCAAGCUUGAUGGAUCUCUAAAUCUAGGAUUCUAAAUCUAAGACCUUGCACUUAAGCCUUGCUUAUUUAAAUGAAUUCUGCAGGAAUUGGGAACUGAGUACCUAGUCAGGCCUGUGGGUCGUCCUGAGGAUGAGGAGGAUGCAAGUGACUUCGAGCCUGAGGAGAAUGGCGAGGAGGAAGACGCUGACGAAGAGGACGAGGAUGAAGACGAGGACGAUGCUGGUGGUAAGGUCGAGCCUCCGCCAAAGAGGAAGCGAUCGGACAAGGACAACUCUGACGACGACGAU